rnacentral:rRNA from 1 species
UACGGGGGGGGCAAGCGUUGUUCGGAAUUACUGGGCGUAAAGGGCUUGUAGGUGGCCAACUAAGUCAGACGUGAAAUCCCUCGGCUUAACCGGGGAACUGCGUCUGAUACUGGAUGGCUAGAGUGUGGGAGAGGGAUGCGGAAUUCCAGGUGUAGCGGUGAAAUGCGUAGAUAUCAGGAGGAACACCAAUGGCGAAGGCAGCUCGCUGGGACGGUACUGACGCUGAGACGCGAAAGCGUGGGGAGCAAACAGG